rnacentral:misc_RNA from 1 species
UUGUGGAGGAGGACGCCGAAGGUGGGGCUAAUGACUGGGGUGAAGUCGUAACAAGGUAGCCGUACCGGAAGGUGCGGCUGGAUCACCUCCUAACAGGGAGACAACAAAAUGUAAAUAUUAAUUUUGUCACCUUAGGUCGAUCGGUAUCUCAGAUUCUUAUUUUUUAAGAAUUUCAGUUUCUAAGUUUUUUCUUGGUCACACCCAUCACUUUUUCCUGGGCCAUUAGCUCAGGUGGUUAGAGCGCACCCCUGAUAAGGGUGAGGUCCCUGGUUCAAGUCCAGGAUGGCCCAUAUCUCUAUGUUGGGGGUAUAGCUCAGUUGGUAGGGCCCCUGCUUUGCAAGCAGGAUGUCAGCGGUUCGAGUCCGCUUACCUCCACUGAAUACCACCUCUUACAUAUUUAAAGAGGGAAAUUGUUUUGAGUCGUGUCCUAAUUUGCUCUGAGCGAAUCUAGCUUCCUAUUUUAUUCAAUAAAUAAGAUGCUGGACUCAUUGAAUUUUUUUUCAUUGUUUUCAGAGAACCUUGACAACUGCAUAGAUUAUUUUUGAAGACAAUAAGCAUCUUUAAUGAUGCAGAUUUAUUAUUUGUGCGAAUGCAUUAAAUAGCAAUUCUAUUAAGCUGAUGCUUCAAUUAUUGAAGUUAUUGGUCAAGCUACAA